UACGGGGGGAGCAAGCGUUGUUCGGAUUUACUGGGCGUAAAGGGCGCGUAGGCGGCGCAACAAGUCACUUGUGAAAUCUCCGGGCUUAACCCGGAGCGGCCAAGUGAUACUGUCGUGCUAGAGUGCGGAAGGGGCUACUGGAAUUCUCGGUGUAGCGGUGAAAUGCGUAGAUAUCGGGAGGAACACCUAUGGCGAAGGCAGCUCGCUGGGACGUUACUGACGCUGAGACGCGAAAGCGUGGGGGGCGAACAGG
rnacentral:rRNA from 1 species